rnacentral:rRNA from 1 species
AUGAGCCGCCGCCGCCGCCCAUGCUCGCCGCCGCCGCCGCCCGCGCCGGUGCCGCCGCUGGAGGACGACAACCUGCUCUCCGAGAUACUCCUCCGCCUCCCGCCAGACCCGUCCUCCCUCCCUCGCGCCUCCCUCGUCUCCAAGCGCUGGCUCGGCCUCGUCUCCGACCCCGGCUUCUCUCGCCGCUUCCGCCUCCACCACCGCCACAACCCUCCUCUCCUUGGUUUCUUCGAGGGCUUCCGUUUCCAUCCUACCAUGGAUCCCCCCAAUCGUGUCCCGGAUGGCUACUUCUCCGUGCGCAUCGACACCGGCGGCAUGUUCAGGAAUCUUGGAUCCCGCCAUGGCCUCCUACUCCACUUCCACGGAACAGGGAACCAGCUCCUGGUGUGGGACCCCUUCAACGUCGCCCAGCACCGCGUAGCCGUUCCCCCAGGGUUCGAUGAGAAGAAGACCUUUAUCGGUGGGGCGGUGUAUCGCGCCGCCGGAGAGAUCCAACACUUCCAAGUGGUCUUGGUAAGCGCAGAGACAGACGAGCUUCAGCAUAGACAGGUCAUCGCCCGCGUUUACUCGUCGGAGACUGGCGCAUGGGGUGAUCGCAUCUCAACACCAUAUCCAUCCAGACUUCCCAGCAAGAAUUGUAUGGGCUUUACUCUGAGUGUGCUAGUUGGGCAUUCCCUUUACUGGUUGUUCGUGGACAUAUCGACUGGCAGAGUGGAUGGCAUAGUUGAGUUUGAUUUGGAGAUGCAGAUCCUAGCUGUGAAACCGGUGCCAGUCGAUAUUGCCAAGGAAAAACAGGGCAAAUUCCAGGUUAUGCGGGCAGAGGGCGGUGGCCUUGGUAUUCUCUUUCUGUUUAAAUUCAGCGCCCAGUUAUGGAAGAUGGAGACCGCUUCUGAUGGUGUUGCAUCAUGGGUGCUGGGAAGAACCGUUGAACUGGACAAGCUACUCCCCCUGGGUCUAGAAGAGGAAGAGAACUCAGAAGAGGAGUGCUCAGAAGUGGAAGAUAACGAUUUCCCAUUCCCAGGUAUACAAGGGUUUGCUGAAUACAAUAAUGUGGUUUUCCUGUGGACACAUAUCCACAACUUCACAGUCCAGCUUGAGUCACUGCAGUUCAAGAAAGUGUCCAAAAUACACAUGUUGGCUCGCUAUUAUCCAUUUGAAAGUGCCUAUGCUGCAGGCACGGGCAUUGGUGGUGGACAUGAUGGAGCUAAACUUUUGCACAAUACCUAA